UACGUAGGGUGCAAGCGUUAAUCGGAAUUACUGGGCGUAAAACGUGCGCAGGCGGUCAUGCAAGACAGAUGUGAAAUCCCCGGGCUCAACCUGGGAACUGCAUUUGUGACUGCAUGGCUGGAGUGCGGUAGAGGGGGAUGGAAUUCCGCGUGUAGCAGUGAAAUGCGUAGAUAUGCGGAGGAACACCGAUGGCGAAGGCAAUCCCCUGGGCCUGCACUGACGCUCAUGCACGAAAGCGUGGGGAGCAAACAGG
rnacentral:rRNA from 1 species